UGGGUCGUCGCCAAGUGGUAAGGCACCGGGUUUUGAUCUCGGCAUUCGUAGGUUCGAACCCUACCGACCCAGCCA
rnacentral:tRNA from 1 species